rnacentral:misc_RNA from 1 species
UUAUUUACAUAUUGUUAAUAUCUACAUAAGUUUUAGUGUGUUAGUGUUUAAAAAUGAGUGUUUGGAAUGAGCUUAUUAAUUCAAAAAGUCGAAAUAAAAUUGCAGAAUUGUAUCAAAAACAUAAUGUCCACAUUGAAAUUCGAGCAAUUUUUGCAGAUUGGUUUGAAGGACAGAACUGGGAGUUUAAUUGUGAAGAAAAUAUACCACAAGCUAACGAUUUGCUGAUGCAACUUUUUUCCCUUAUUUCUUCAUAUGCAUCUCAGGCUAAAGAUAUUAUAACACAGAUAAGAUUCUCAGAAUACAAGAAAAACUUUGAAAAUGCUUUUUCUGGUAAACCAAGUUUUUUUGUCAAAACCAUUCAGUAUUUAAUGAGAGAAGAACGAAAUAUGAUUCAAGCAGAAAGAAAUAUUAAUCUACCACCAAUCCAGCUAUUAGAAUGCGGAAGUGCAUCUGCGGUUGUUGAAAAUCCAGAUCAGUUUCUUCAUAAGCUAGAUUCUAGCAUUAUUGAUCUAGAAAGAUUGGUGAAGGAAAGUCGUAACAACCAAGAGGAUUUCAUUCUUCUUUAUUCAAAAUUCAAAAUAAUUGAAGGACAUUUGGCACAGUUGGAUCAACCAAAUGGACAAAUGGUUCAUGUCACUACAGCUAAAUUAAAAGCUCAAGAAGAUAAGAAAGAAAUUGAAAGUACUUUAACAAGUAAAGGACAAUGGCUUUCUUCUGCACGAAGGAAUAUUCUUGAGCGGUUAAAAGAAUUAGUGGUGAUGGUUCAAGCAAUGGUUACAUUUCUUCAAGAGGAACUUGCUGGUUGGCGUGCAAUGCAACAAAAAUCUUUAAGUGGAGCUCUUAAACCAGAUCCACUUGAUGAAAUUCAAAAAUGGUUUCAGAUAACAACCGAUAUUAUGUGGAAAGCUGCACAUGUCAAUACACAGUUUAGAUGUUUAGAAGAACAACUACUUCUUUCAAACUCGCUACUUCAAAGUAUAGAUCAAAUUUCCAAUGAGUUUGAAAAAGGUUUUUCUAAUUUAGUGCAGUGGUCUUUUUUAGUUGAUAAGCAACCUAAGCAAGUUUUGAAAACACAAACAAAGUUUCAAGCUUCUGUGCGAUUGCUCAUAGGUUCAAAAUUAAAUCAAAUGUCAUUACCAGAAGUAACAGUCUCAAUUUUAAGUGAAAAACAAUGCAAAGAAUUACUUUCUGGGAAGAAUCUCGCAGAUAUUGGAACAUGUGGAGAGAUCUUAAAUGAUAAAUGUGUUAUGGAACUAGAUAAAGAAACUUCUACUCUUCAUGCUGAAUUUAAAAAUCUGCAAUUAAAAAAGAUAAAGCGUCAGGACAGGAAGGGUCAAGAGUCUGUUCUGGAAGCAAAAAGUGCUCUAGUAUUCUCCGCCAAAUUGAACUUAUGUGAUGGAGUAGUCCUGGACAUCAGGUGUAUGACAGCACCAGUUGUAGUUGUUGUCCAUGGGAAUCAAGGACCAAACUCAGAAGCUACUAUUAUAUGGGACAAUAUGUUUUCUGUACCUAAUCGUGUUCCUUUUGAAGUUCCGGAAGAAGUCUCUUGGAAAGAAAUGGCAGUGGCCUUAAAUGCACGAUGGAUUCAAACAGCUGAAUAUGAGUUACAUAGCAACCACCUUCUUUAUCUACGAGAUCGCAUUUUUUCUAAUAUUACAAGUGAUAAAAAUAUUAUCUCUGAGGAUUCAAUGAUACCUUGGACUUUGUUCAAUAAAGAACCGCUUAAAGGUCGUUCAUUUACAUUUUGGGAAUGGUUUCAUGGUUCUUUAGAAGUAGUUCGAAAACACCUAAAAGAACAUUGGAAAGAUCAAUGUUUAGAGUUUAUGACAAGGCAACUUGCUCACAAGAAUUUGUUAGAAAAACAACCAGGAACAUUUAUAAUUCGUUUUUCAGAUGGUGAACUUGGUGCUAUAACCAUUGCAUGGAGAUGCGAAGUUAAUGAAUUUAGGUAAACCUGAAGUUUGGUACUUGCAGCCUUGGAGUUCCAAAGAUUUAACAAUACGUAGUCUUGCUGACAGAAUAUUCGAUUUACCAGAAUUGACUCACUUAUACCCAGAUAUUCCAAAA